rnacentral:rRNA from 1 species
UGGCGGCGUGCUAAUCAUGCAAGUCGAGCGGGUAUCGAAAGAUACCAGCGGCGGACGGGUGAGGAACACGUGGGGAAUCUGCCUAACAGACCGGAAUAACGCCUGGAAACGGGUGCUAAGGCCGGAUAGGCGCAUGAGGCGCAUGCCUGAUGCGGGAAAGGAUGCUAUGGCAUCGCUGAGAGAGGACCCCGCGGCGCAUUAGCUAGUUGGUAGGGUAAAGGCCUACCAAGGCGACGAUGCGUAGCCGACCUGAGAGGGUGACCGGCCACACUGGGACUGAGACACGGCCCAGACUCCUACGGGAGGCAGCAGUAGGGAAUCUUCCGCAAUGGGCGCAAGCCUGACGGAGCAACGCCGCGUGAGCGAGGAAGGCCUUCGGGUUGUAAAGCUCAGUCAAGGGGGAAGAGCGGCAAGGAGAGGGAAUGCUCUUUGCGAGACGGUACCCCAAGAGGAAGCCCCGGCAAACUACGUGCCAGCAGCCGCGGUAAU